GUGCUCGCUUCUGCAGCACAUACACAAAAUCGGAACAAUACAGAGGAGAUUAGCAUAUGGCCCCUGUGCAAGGAUGACACGCAAAUUCGUGACAUGUUCCACAUGUUC
rnacentral:snRNA from 1 species